UGGGGAAUAUUGCACAAUGGAGGGAACUCUGAUGCAGCGACGCCGCGUGAGUGAUGAAGGAAUUCGUUUCGUAAAACUCUGUUCUAUGGGAAGAAAAGGACUGUACCAUAGGAGAAAGCUCCGGCUAAAUACGUGCCAGCAGCCGCGGUAAUACGUAUGGAGCGAGCGUUGUCCGGAAUUAUUGGGCGUAAAGGGUGCGCAGGCGGCUUUAAAAGUUGGAUGUGAAAUAUUGUGGCUCAACCACAAACGUGCAUCCAAAACUGCAAAGCUUGAGUUAAGGAGAGGUAAGUGGAAUUCCUGGUGUAGCGGUGGAAUGCGUAGAUAUCAGGAGGAAUACCGGUGGCGAAGGCGACUUACUGGACUUAAACUGACGCUCAGGCACGAAAGCGUGGGGAGCAAACAGG
rnacentral:rRNA from 1 species